AUUAAAACUUAAUAUAACCCAACAGGGUAGCUCAAGUGGCAAAUGAGCUCUCUUUGUGGGGGAGAAUUAUGGGAUAACCCGGGUUCAAUUUCUACAAGUGAUGAUUCCCUUUGGGUCAGCUACCGACAAAAAAGAAAUUAGA